UACGGGGGGAGCAAGCGUUGUUCGGAUUUACUGGGCGUAAAGCGUGCGCAGGCGGUUAUGUAAGACAGAUGUGAAAUCCCCGGGCUCAACCUGGGAAUUGCGUUGGAGACUGCAAGGCUAGAAUCUGGCAGAGGGGGGUAGAAUUCCACGUGUAGCAGUGAAAUGCGUAGAUAUGUGGAGGAACACCGAUGGCGAAGGCAGCCCCCUGGGUCAAGAUUGACGCUCAUGCACGAAAGCGUGGGGAGCAAACAGG
rnacentral:rRNA from 1 species